rnacentral:sRNA from 1 species
AGGAUUAAUAUGCUGGAGCUGCAAC